AUACGGAGGAUCCGAGCGUUAUCCGGAUUUAUUGGGUUUAAAGGGUCCGUAGGCGGGGCCUUAAGUCAGCGGUGAAAUCCCCCGGCUCAACCGGGGAACUGCCGUUGAAACUGGGGUCCUUGAAUCUGGCCGGGGCGGGCGGAACACGACGUGUAGCGGUGAAAUGCAUAGAUAUGUCGUGGAACCCCGAUCGCGAAAGCAGCCCGCCAGCCCAGCAUUGACGCUGAUGGACGAAAGCGUGGGUAGCGAACAGGAUUAGAUACCCUGGUAGUCCACGCCGUAAACGAUGAUCACUCGUUGUGCGCGACAGACCGUGCGCGACCGAGCGAAAGCAUUAAGUGAUCCACCUGGGGAGUACGUCCGCAAGGAUGAA
rnacentral:rRNA from 1 species